ensembl:lncRNA
GAGAAACCCAAAGACCAAAAAACAAACAAACAAACAAAAUUCUUUCAUCAUGUGAGCCCAGGAAGGCUGACUUCUGAGCCACACAGCACCCUGAGAAUGAAGCGCUCUGAUACCAUCUCAGAUACGAGCAGCUCUGUGUCGUUGUGGAGACGCAUAAAGUGGUCCAGGUCCUUGAAAACAUGGUACUUGGAAGUCAUCUGAUUUCUGGAUUAAAUUGUAAGGAACCCAUGUUUUGCUGUAAAUGUGAUGUGGAAGAAAAAAAUUCAAAGGUAUCUUGCGGCUCAACUGAAACCAAACACAUCAACUAUGGAGAUAAUUCACCUCUUAAAACAGUGUCUUGACUCUGGCCCUUUCCAAGCCGUCUUCUGAGAAGAAAGGAAGUUUGCUUGUUCUCUGGGUUGCAGCCUCCGUCGCCAAGUCCAAACACAAGAAGAAAUGACUGGGAAUCAGACCAUGGGGAUACCACACUGCAUGUUGCAGACGUGUGGCCUGGAGGCAGUUUGGGACUCACUCUUCAACACCAGUCAGGUCUUCUCCGAGUGUCCACUUCCCACAGGGUUGGUGUAUGGCCGUGCCCAAGGGGAGACAGAAGUUUGCUUUAAUAAGAAGAUGAGUCAAGUACCUUUGCUUUUCCCCAUCCUUUUCUAUGGCUUGUAGAACAUCUGGGAAUUUUUAAAACUCCCUACCAUAGCACAAAUAGAGCCUUAAAUAUAAUAAUGUCAUCAAGUCCUUGUGAUUAUAUGAGAUAGAGGUAAUUAUGAAGAAAGUAACUGUCAAGUUCACGAGGCCGUCCCCGUAAUGAUGGCUUUUAAGGUCUUGAGUACAGUGCUUUUCAGUGUAAAGAUAACACCUGAUUACUCAGUCUUCUACGGCCAGCAGCAGUAACUUAUACGUGUGAAACUGAGCACAGGGCUUCCUGAAGAGAGCAUUUCAUUAUUAUUUUUGGCCAUUUCAAGGA